rnacentral:rRNA from 1 species
GAUACUUGGUGUGAAUUGCAGAAUUCAGUGAAUCAUCGAAUCUUUGAACGCACCUUGCGCCCUUUUGCUAUUCCGAAUGUCAUGCCUGUUUGAGUGUCAUGUUAAUCUCAAACCCCUUGUCUUUGUUGACUCGGUUUGGUUUGGACUUGGAGGUGUUGCUGGCACAUGGGUUCUUGCCUUGUCGGCUCCUCUUAAAUGUAUUAGCUGGGCUUUGGUUCGCAUUAACGGUGUAAUAGUAAAGUGUUCGCCGGGUGCUUGCCUAACGAGUCUGCUUCUAAUUGUCUUCGGACAAAGGUGGACUCUGGGCCUUUUCUCUUGACGCUUUGAUCCUCAUAUCAGACAGUAGGAUUACCCGCUUGAACUUAAGCAUAUCAAUAAGCGGAGGAA